GAUGAAGAACGCAGUGAAAUGCGAUAAGUAAUGUGAAUUGCAGAAUUCAGUGAAUCAUCGAAUCUUUGAACGCACAUUGCGCCCGCCAGUAUUCUGGCGAGCAUGCCUGUUCGAGCGUCAUUUCAACCAUCAAGCCCCAGGCUUGUGUUGGAGCCCUGCGGCUGCCGCAGCCUCCCAAAACCAGUGGCGGGCUCGCUAUCACACCGAGUGCAGUAGUUUACUCUUCGCUCAGGGCGUGUGGCGGGUGCUAGCCGUGAAACCCCCAACUUCUCAAGGUUGACCUCGGAUCAGGUAAGAAUACCCGCUGAACUUAAGCAUAUCAAUAAGCGGAGGA
rnacentral:misc_RNA from 1 species